rnacentral:rRNA from 1 species
AGAGGAGCUUGCUCCUUGGGUGGCGAGUGGCGGACGGGUGAGGAAUACAUCGGAAUCUACUCUGUCGUGGGGGAUAACGUAGGGAAACUUACGCUAAUACCGCAUACGACCUACGGGUGAAAGCAGGGGAUCUUCGGACCUUGCGCGAUUGAAUGAGCCGAUGUCGGAUUAGCUAGUUGGCGGGGUAAAGGCCCACCAAGGCGACGAUCCGUAGCUGGUCUGAGAGGAUGAUCAGCCACACUGGAACUGAGACACGGUCCAGACUCCUACGGGAGGCAGCAGUGGGGAAUAUUGGACAAUGGGCGCAAGCCUGAUCCAGCCAUACCGCGUGGGUGAAGAAGGCCUUCGGGCUGUAAAGCCCUUUUGUUGGGAAAGAAAUCCAGCUGGUUAAUACCCGGUUGGGAUGACGGUACCCAAAGAAUAAGCACCGGCUAACUUCGUGCCAGCAGCCGCGGUAAUACGAAGGGUGCAAGCGUUACUCGGAAUUACUGGGCGUAAAGCGUGCGUAGGUGGUCGUUUAAGUCCGUUGUGAAAGCCCUGGGCUCAACCUGGGAACUGCAGUGGAUACUGGACGACUAGAGUGUGGUAGAGGGUAGCGGAAUUCCUGGUGUAGCAGUGAAAUGCGUAGAGAUCAGGAGGAACAUCCAUGGCGAAGGCAGCUACCUGGACCAACACUGACACUGAGGCACGAAAGC